rnacentral:rRNA from 1 species
GUUGUUGCCUGAAAAGUUUUGCAUGGAAUAAUGGAAUAGGACUUCGGUUCUAUUUCGUUGGUUUUCGGAUCCGAAGUAAUGAUCAAAAGAGACAGGCGGGGACGUUUGUAUGGCUGCGCUAGAGGUGAAAUUCAUGGACCGUAGCCAGACAAACUAAAGCGAAAGCAUUCGUCAAGCAUGUUUUCAUUGGCCAUGAGCGAAAGUCAGAGGCUCGAAGACGAUCAGAUACCGUCCUAGUUCUGACCAUAACCGAUGCCAACUGACGAUCCGUGGUGGUAGUCUCUCAACCUUCCCCACGGGCAGUCCCCGGGAAACCUUUAAGUCUUUGGGUUCCGGGGGAAGUAUGGUUGCAAAGCUGAAACUUAAAGGAAUUGACGGAAGGGCACCACCAGGAGUGGAGCCUGCGGCUUAAUUUGACUCAACACGGGAAAACUCACCCGGGCCGAACACUAUGAGGAUUGACAGAUUGAUAGC